rnacentral:rRNA from 1 species
GACGAACGCUGGCGGCGUGCUUAACACAUGCAAGUCGAACGGAAAGGCCCUGCUUUUGUGGGGUGCUCGAGUGGCGAACGGGUGAGUAACACGUGAGUAACCUGCCCUUGACUUUGGGAUAACUUCAGGAAACUGGGGCUAAUACCGGUUAGGAGCUCCUGCUGCAUGGUGGGGGUUGGAAAGUUUCGGCGGUUGGGGAUGGACUCGCGGCUUAUCAGCUUGUUGGUGGGGUAGUGGCUUACCAAGGCUUUGACGGGUAGCCGGCCUGAAAGGGUGGCCGGCCACAUUGGGACUGAGAUGCGGCCCAGCCUCCUACGGGAGGCAGCAGUGGGGAAUAGUGCACAAUGGGCGGAAGCCUGAUGCAGCAACGCCGCGUGCGGGAUGACGGCCUUCUGGUUGUAGACCGCUUUCGCCUGUGACGAAGCGUGAGUGACGGUAAUGGGUAAAGAAGCACCGGCUAACUACGUG